UGUGUAUGUGCGUAUGCACAUGCACAUACUAAAGAACUUGCCAAACAAGUACUCAGGGAGACAACACCUACAAUUCACCAGAGAAUAAGCCUAGGGAAUGGUCACACCCAGCUUGUACCACAUGAAAAGACUCCAGGCUCCAGACUAGUGCAGGAUGAAGCUCUGCUGUUGUGCCCUAAGCCAUGGACAACUAUCAGCUAUGGCAGCCCAUUGUGUCCAGGGCAGGUAGGAGAUGGUGCAGAGUCCUACUGUCUGGGCUUCUGAAGGGACUUUGCUUCUUCACAGUAAUAAUCUUGUCUUUUAUGUCCAGGGGUUGUCUCCAGCAUGGCCGAAAGCAGGAGUUCAAGGCAAAACCCGUUUUGAUGAUUUGGGAAUAAAAACAAAUGUAUGAGGGGAAAGGAAACUCAGAAGAGGAAUAAAAUCUAAAAUCAGUCUAAAGAACCUAGAACAGGAGAACUGAACUCUGCCUACCAUUUCAGUCUUCUGGUUUCCCUGUGUUUUCAGCUGCACAGACAUGGCUGGCUCUCAGAGUCCCAGGAGCCUCAGGUUCUUACCCUGCCUGAGACUGUCCCUUUCCAGGCUGACCUCUAAUUCACUGUGGCAGUAUUAGGCUAACUGGAAACAUCUUGGGCAUUGGUUAGUCUUCGUACUGUUCUUAUAGCUAGUUGUUUAGCUAUUUACAACUGCUAAGAUCUUAUAACAGAAAAGUGGCAAGAGAAACCACUUUCUUUUUAAAAUUGUUUAUUUAUUAUUAUUGUUGUUAUUGAUUUUUUUUUUCUUCAAGACAGGGUUUCUCUGUGAAGCCUUGGCUGUUCUGAGAUUUGCUGCAUAUACUAGGCUGUCCUCAAACACAAAAGGCUUGGGAUGUUUUCUGGGAUGGACUACCUGAAAUUCGUCACGUGAGUAGCUUACUCGGUGCGAAGCACUUCUUCACUGGGGUCUUAAGCGGGGGAGGCAGAAAUAGGGAGAGGGACUUAAAGUGUUUCGGAUUGAACACAGCUCUAAGAUUGUCUUCAAGAGCGCUAAGGAGAGCUAGAAACAGAUCAGAAGUCUCACAGUAAUGGGAAUGGCCACUCAAGACUGUAGGAAGUAGAACCCCUCACUCACCAGGAGGAGAGGCCUUGGAAAGAAGCCACAUAUAUACAUCUGGACCAGGACUUGAGCCCCCAGACUAGAUCAGGAAGGCAGGAACAGUGCUUUUGCCACACCCACAUUUGACCAUCACACAUAGCUUGUCCAGGGAAGGAGGCAGAGCAUCUUCCCUGGUGACUUCAGGCCAUGGCAAUAGCAAUCUUUGCAUGUGUACUCAGAGAGCUGCCACAAUAUGAGUCAAACAUCAAUGCCAGUACCACAGGAAACGCCAUGACAG
rnacentral:lncRNA from 1 species